AUGGCGCUCGACGCCGCCGAGGGGCGGGUCCAUGGCCAUGGGGAGGGCGGCGACGGCUUCCUCGAGGGCGAGGGCGGCGGCGAGGGCGAGGACGACGACUACUACCCCGAGCUCCGCUGCUACAACGGGGAGUACUACUACGACGACGGCCUGGAGGGGAGCGAGGAGGACGCGGUGGGCGCGGAUCUGGAGCGCCGGAUCUGCCUCCUCGAGCACGGCCACGAUGGGGAUGUACUAGGUCAACCGUCCCUGGAGGAAGAGGAAGAGGGAGAGGAGGGCGCCCACCUGUAUGCAGAGGAGGCAUUGCUGGAGCCGGCUGGGCAGGAAACAACCGGAUUUUCUGCCGACGAGGUGUUACAUGAGGAGACUGUACAACAAAGGAGCCAUCUCUGUGAUGAUGAUGAGUUGCCAGAUUCUCCCGUUGCUGGAUAUGGCGUCGAAGAAGGGGGAAGUGACGACGAUGGUUCUGGCAGCGGCAGCGACAGGGUCUACAUGAUCGACAAGGUGCAUCAAGGUGCGGCAGCUCCUACCGCCAGGGUCCUGGAGAAGUACGAGGAUGAGGCGCUCGAGCCAGACAUUAAGACACUAUACAUGAGGCUGGAAGUGCUGGAGGCUGACCGGGAAUCGAUGCGCCAGGCUCUGCUGGGAAUGCGCACUGAGAAAGCUCAGCUUAUGCUUCUUCGGGAGAUAGCACAACAGCUAGCCAAAGACGCCGCUCCAGUUGGCACUGGGGCUGGGUCUGUUCCAGUUGUCCACCAUUUGCCCAGAAAGCAAGCUGUGGGGGUCGCAGAUACAACGGUCAGGGAAGACAAGAAGACAGCACCCGCCGGGACAUUCUCCAAGCCCUUGUUGUUUAAGUGGGCCAUCGCAUUAUUUUGCUCUCGAAAAAAGAAGCCAUCACAAAGCAGGUAUACAUUUGGAUUAUCAAGUAACAAUGUGGGUUUGCUCAUACUCUUGGACAAGUGCCCUCGGAUUCAGAAAACUCUCAUGAGAAGAAAGUAA
rnacentral:rRNA from 1 species